rnacentral:rRNA from 1 species
ACGGGUGAGUAAUGCCUAGGAAUCUGCCUGGUAGUGGGGGACAACGUUUCGAAAGGAACGCUAAUACCGCAUACGUCCUACGGGAGAAAGCAGGGGACCUUCGGGCCUUGCGCUAUCAGAUGAGCCUAGGUCGGAUUAGCUAGUUGGUGAGGUAAUGGCUCACCAAGGCGACGAUCCGUAACUGGUCUGAGAGGAUGAUCAGUCACACUGGAACUGAGACACGGUCCAGACUCCUACGGGAGGCAGCAGUGGGGAAUAUUGGACAAUGGGCGAAAGCCUGAUCCAGCCAUGCCGCGUGUGUGAAGAAGGUCUUCGGAUUGUAAAGCACUUUAAGUUGGGAGGAAGGGUUGUAGAUUAAUACUCUGCAAUUUUGACGUUACCGACAGUAUAAGCACCGGCUAACUCUGUGCCAGCAGCCGCGGUAAUACAGAGGGUGCAAGCGUUAAUCGGAAUUACUGGGCGUAAAGCGCGCGUAGGUGGUUUGUUAAGUUGGAUGUGAAAUCCCCGGGCUCAACCUGGGAACUGCAUCCAAAACUGGCAAGCUAGAGUAUGGUAGAGGGUGGUGGAAUUUCCUGUGUAGCGGUGAAAU